AUUCUGACCCUGUGCUCAUUGGCCCUUACAAUUUAAUCUGAACAAUGGAACCAGAGACAUCAGCACUGUCCAGGCUCUCUCAUGAUCUUCAACCUUCGCCAGUGGCAUUUCAUGAAAUAAAUACAGAGUUUUCUGAGGAAAGUAUAAUAUACUCAGACCUCAAAGUUCAUUGUUCUUCAAAUAUCCAGAACGGAAAAAUAACUAAAACUUUGAAAACAAAAGGUAAAAACCAUUUAAAACUCUAGAUUCACUUUUUGGCUUAAAUAUUUUAAUGAACUAAUCACGAAAACAAAUAUUCUUGA
rnacentral:lncRNA from 1 species